UAAUAAGGCAACAUAGUAGCAUUUACAAGAAAUCCACCAAUAGAUCUCAACAAGUACGGACCAAAAUAAGUCAUUGAUUAUCAAAUAAAGCCAAAUUCUUGCUGUAGAGAAGCAACUCAUAGUACAAAAAUAGAAUGAGCAAUCACCGAGAGAAGCACCAAUAGUUUAUGGCUUUACGCCCUGGCCAAUCCAAAAAUCCUUAUCCACUUAUGCAUUCAACCUCAAAUAACUUUGAAUCACAUACACAUAAUCAAAAUACUUCGCCGAUAUCAACAAAACCUCAAAAGGUAACAAAACUAAAUUCAUAAUACCAGUUCAUUUACAAAAUAAGAAAGUAUAUUUCAUUGUCUUUCUACCAAUGUAGUUCCUCAACUGUAUUUACUAAUAGAAACUACCGACAUUUCAAAGUUCCAAUUUGACAUAGAUCCAGCUAAACCCUUCUAAAAGCCCCAAGCACCAAGACUGUAGCAAUUUUACUGUUCCUUAUGAACACAAAAUUGACGGUUUUGCCCUCCCCUGCCCUUAGCACCCUUCCCUGAUUGACCAAAUUGCCAGGGGUGGUUCGGUCUUUUUGCUUUGACAUUCCAGGUGUUCAAAGUGGGCUGACGCGUGGCAUUCAUCCUCUUAGUCUUUUCGGGUUGCCCAUUUCUCUCUCCUGCCUUUUGCUCCUCUCAUCCUCACUUCUCCUAACUCCUAAGCAUCCUCAAAUUUCUCUCUUACUACUGCAUUGAAACGCACUUUGAGUUCUCCAUUAAAGCGCACUCUGAGUUCUCCAUUGUCUUAUCCUUUGUUUUUUUCCGCCUGAUUUCGAAAUUCUGGGGUUAGGGUUCGGGUUUUUGGUUGGUUUUCAAGAUACUCAAAUCUUGAUUUACUUUAAUCAAAAUUCUUCAUCUCUUUUGAUGAAGUUGAGUUACUGGGUUCAUUUCUUCUGCUGUAAAUCGGUUGAAUUGUAGUUUGAAGCAAUGUUUACACCUUAGAAGAAGGUUUUUACGGGUUGGUCUUUGUCGCCGAGGAGAGAGAAUCAGAAAACUCCAGUGCCGAAUUCGAAUUCUAGCGCGCGAAUUUCUGAAAAUGGAGGUGCGAUUGUUGUUAGGGAUGGAGACGAUCUCGAAGAUUUGGAUGGAAGAACUGCUAAGCUUGGAAAUGAGGUGGGUUUAUUUGUUAAUUAUAUCUGUUUUAUCUUAAUUACUUAAUUUUCCCUUUUUUUCUUUUUUUUUUUUUUUUGCAUCAAUUAUGAUUUUUUGCUCACCUGGGUUUGCUCUGUAUUUACUAUAUUUUUGUGGGUCUUACUUUAUUUUUUUUAAUUCAAUGAAUUUUAGUAUUUUGUGCUCUGAUUUGAGUAGAUUUGUAGUUUUGCUUAACGAUAUAAGUACUCCGUUUUGUUUGAAGUAUAAUAUUAAUGAAUGUUGGGUCUACUUGAGUAAGGUUAAGAAUUAGUUGUUUUUUUUGCCGUAUUUUAAUCGGAAUUCCCCACUCAAAAAAAGAAGAAGCUUGAAGCUGUGUAUGUAUUGUAGUCAAUGAAGUGUUGGGUGUAGCGGAUGUGAGGUGCAUUGGGAUAAUUGCUUCUUCCGUUGUACCAAAAUGUCGAUCGACCUUGAAUUGUUAAGGUAUGGUGAAUAUAAGGCGGUGUGAUUUGUGGUCUUUUUCGGCGAAAAUUUAGGAACUUUGGAUAUUAUUUAUAAUGAAAAUCUACUUUAUCAUCUAAGGGAUAGUGAUAAUGGCCCAUUUUUAGGAGUUUUAGAUCCUAUUGUAGCCUCAUUGCCUUGUUUAGUUGUUUUUAUGGGCUAUAAUUGGAUUUACAAAGCUAGUUUGCUGCUUUAAUUGAUGGUCAUUGAUUUAGGGAGCAGCUAGGUUUUUUUCUUUUUUUCAAUAAUCUUAUAUAAUUACACCAUCUAGGGUGUAAUUUCACUCUAUCGUUGAUUUAGUCAAAUUAGGAUUCUUCUUAGGUGGAUUUCAUGUAAUUUUUGGACUAUUUUUGAUGAAAGAGUACUGAAACUCUGAUGAAUUUGGGUUGUUUGUGACUUUGAUCUUUCAUUGAUUAAUAAUUUCUUCCCCUUUUUCUAUGAUCUGGAAUUGAUAUAUUUUUAGGUAUACGGUUUUAUAAUUCUUUUGGUUUAUUAAUUCCAGAAAUUGAGCUGAUAUCUUAAAUUUUUUAUCUGUGGUGGUGUUCAAAUGGUGGCGGAUCUGAGCAGCGGCUUAAUAGUAGUUCUUUUUCGUAGUCGACGCAAAAGUAUGGCAUUUAGUGGUUUAGGUUUUGAUUAUGGUGUUUGUUAAUGGCUUGGAUCAAGGAAUUGUUGUUGGUUUGAUUUUGUGUUAAUACAAAUUAAUUAUUUAGGACGGCAUUGUGUGAUUUUAUAAAGCAAGGUGGAGGAAUUGUUAUAUGAUUAAUGAAUGAAUGGGUAAUUACAUACAUAUAGUGAUUUAGAUGAUUUUUUUUGGAAUUUGUAGUUGCAAAUUUUGAUUAAAAGCGACAAGUUGUAACUGAAGUUGAAUAAUAGGCGUCUUUUCGUGGCUCAUUAUAGUAGUGAUCCAAUUUAGUGCUCAUUAUAGUAUCUUUUUAUGUUGAAAUCCCUUGCCAUUAGUCCAAACAUUUGUAGUUCUGAAAUGUACAUCCGUACCAGUAGCUUAGAAUACUACUUCCAUUACAUACUAUACGCUGAAUGUAUGAGAUGUGCUGCAUAUCACACCACACAAAUAUCGUACUUGUAUUUCAUCUAAUCUAAAUAAAGAUAAGAGACUUCUUUAAGCAUAGUACCUAAUUCUAUUGAAGGUUAAAAGCUGCAACAUAACCUAAAUUACUGUGAAUCUAGACAAUAAUAGAUUCGAAAGGUUAUAAGAAAUGGUGCAGCUGCUCUGCAUCUCAAGUUUGGUGGCUGCCUGUCAUUCAUGUCAAUGGCAGACAUUGAUUCUUUGGAAGAGUGGGAGGAAAAAGAUUGCUUCUUUUGAAGCCGUGAUUAUCAAAUCUAGGAUGUUAGUUGAAGCAUGUGACACAUUGGAAGGGGUAUUAUUUUUAGUCAGAUAGCUUCUAUGUGUGGAACGACCACUAUUUUUAUUACUUCUUACUUGCUACAAUUAGUGUCCAUAUCAAAAGUAUUUGAUGAUGCUUUCUUGUAUUGAGUUAGUUUACAGUUUGACUGCAAUUUAGAUAUAGCAGGACUUUAGUUUUAUGAAGAAUGUGGGUUUAUUUAAAACUGAAGUGCUUUCUUAUUUUAUCUAUUAACCUUUAAUUUUGAAAAGAGCUGAAUAUGUUCACUUAGGAAAAUGUUCUUUAUUUACAUUCAACUGUUUUUAUUUGAUUUCAAGUUCAAGUAAAAUUUUUAUAAUAUAAAGUUAUACACUAUUCUAAUAGUCAAUCAGUAACACCCUCUUAAUUACUCUUUGCUCUUUUUUCCGAUCCUUUGCGCCUUCAACCAGCACCUCUAUCUUACAGGAUGUGAUAUUGAGGAUCUCCAUGAACUGAAGCCAACUAAGUUCUGCGGGAUCCUCGGGGUUUUUGAACAUUUAUACACUGAUUUAUAUGCAUUUAUGAAACCCCGCAGUUGUCCUCCUCAAUGAUUUUCGUUUUAUUCUGAUAAAAAAAGACUAUGAGUACACACUAAAACCCCUCUAUCAGAACUAUCAGAAGAGACAAUUAUUGAUCGGGAUCGGGUUGUCCUUCAGUUUUCGGUGGGUCGCUAAAUCGCAAGACCCACAUUUCUUGCUGUUCCUACAGCUGGUCUUCAGAUCGAGACUUGUGAUAGCUCAAGCAAGGCUCACAGUGUAUUCUUAGCCCGAAAAACCCAAGUUUCUAUUCUCUCUAUUUCUUCCCAAUUUGAGAUUAUGCUUUGUUCGUUAUUUUUUGUGUGAAAUUGUUGAGAUUCUUUAAUUUCUGCAUUAAUUUCUUUAAUCAAGCUGUCAAGGGUCAACUCAGGAAUUAAUCUCUCUAAAUUGAUUAGUUGUAAUUUAGUCAUUGGUCUUAGUGAUUGGGAAAUAUUUGUAUUAGCUUCAUAUCCCUGCUUAUUGUUUCUUGGGGCUUGCAUUACUUUUAACAGGGAACGAAUGAGAAGAUAGAGCAGUUGGAGAUGGAUCUCGAACAAAGUAGGAAGGAAGUUCAAAAAUACCAUGACAUGUAUGUUUUUGAGCAAGAAGACUUAGAAGAGAAAUUGGGUUUAGAUGUUGAGCUCCAAGAUUGCAAGUUCAAUCCGGAUGAAAUAGCUGCGUUGUGAAAGAUUUCAAGGAGUAUGAAAUGGGGAUUGUAAUGUAGAAUUCUUGGUCAUUGAACAAAAUCAGAAUUUCCAAUGGGAUUGAAAUAUAUCCCAUAUUCAAAAUAAUUGUGAAUAUGAGUGUCAAUUUUGUAAUCAUUAGCUAUUUACCGUUGUAAAUAAUACGAGUAGGUUGAAUUUUGAAAUAAUUAGCCAUUGCCCCAGCUCAAUUUCAUUCUCAAGUGACUGGUUUAGGUACUACUUUAUAUUAUACCUGUACAUUUGUCUGAAGACUUAAUAGCGAUAUUUAUUUUAUGAUGCUUUAAAAAUAUAUGAACAAUCUCUAAGUCUUUUAACAAAUGUAUUGGUAAAAUAUUUCCUUAAAAAUUUUUUAGGUAUGAUAGGAAUUAGGAAGUAUAAAUAAUUUCUAAACGGCUAUUCAAUUAAGGGGUGCUUGGUUCACAAAAUGUUGUAAGUUUGGAAUUAUGAAUGAAAUUAGGGUGGUGUGAGUUUGAAA